GUGAACGCUGGCGGUAGGCCUAACACAUGCAAGUCGAACGGCAGCACAGUAAGAGCUUGCUCUUACGGGUGGCGAGUGGCGGACGGGUGAGGAAUACAUCGGAAUCUACUUUUUCGUGGGGGAUAACGUAGGGAAACUUACGCUAAUACCGCAUACGACCUACGGGUGAAAGCCGGGGAUCUUCGGACCUUGCGCGAUUGAAUGAGCCGAUGUCGGAUUAGCUAGUUGGCGGGGUAAAGGCCCACCAAGGCGACGAUCCGUAGCUGGUCUGAGAGGAUGAUCAGCCACACUGGAACUGAGACACGGUCCAGACUCCUACGGGAGGCAGCAGUGGGGAAUAUUGGACAAAGGGCGCAAGCCUGAUCCAGCCAUACUGCGUGGGUGAAGAAGGCCUUCGGGUUGUAAAGCCCUUUUGUUGGGAAAGAAAAGCAGCAGGUUAAUACCCCGCUGUUCUGACGGUACCCAAAGAAUAAGCACCGGCUAACUUCGUG
rnacentral:rRNA from 1 species